rnacentral:tRNA from 1 species
AUUCUUGUAGUUGAAUAACAACAGGGGUUUUUCAGACCCCAGGUUUUGGUUUAAACCCAAAUUAGAAUA